rnacentral:rRNA from 1 species
GAUGAACGCUGGCGGCGUGCCUAAUACAUGCAAGUCGAGCGAAUGGAUUAAGAGCUUGCUCUUAUGAAGUUAGCGGCGGACGGGUGAGUAACACGUGGGUAACCUGCCCAUAAGACUGGGAUAACUCCGGGAAACCGGGGCUAAUACCGGAUAACAUUUUGAACCGCAUGGUUCGAAAUUGAAAGGCGGCUUCGGCUGUCACUUAUGGAUGGACCCGCGUCGCAUUAGCUAGUUGGUGAGGGAACGGCUCACCAAGGCAACGAUGCGUAGCCGACCUGCGAGGGGGAUCGGCCACACUGGGACUGCGACACGGCCCAGACUCCUACGGGAGGCAGCAGUAGGGAAUCUUCCGCAAUGGACGAAAGUCUGACGGAGCAACGCCGCGUGAGUGAUGAAGGCUUUCGGGUCGUAAAACUCUGUUGUUAGGGAAGAACAAGUGCUAGUUGAAUAAGCUGGCACCUUGACGGUACCUAACCAGAAAGCCACGGCUAACUACGUGCCAGCCGCCGCCGUAA